rnacentral:rRNA from 1 species
GAAAGGAUCCUUCGGGAUUUGGACGAGUGGCGAACGGGUGAGGAACACGUAAGAAUCUACCUUUCGGUUGGGGAUAACUUCUGGAAACGGGAGCUAAUACCCAAUAUGCUGUGGAGUGAAAGAAUUUCGCCGAGAGACGAUCUUGCGUCUGAUUAGCUUGUUGGGGUGGUAAUGGCACACCAAGGCGACGAUCAGUAGCUGGUCUGAGAGGAUGGACAGCCACAUUGGGACUGAGACACGGCCCAGACUCCUACGGGAGGCAGCAGUGGGGAAUUUUCCGCAAUGGACGAAAGUCUGACGGAGCGACGCUGCGUGAAGGAUGAAGGCCCGUGGGUUGUAAACUUCUUUUCUCGAAGAAGAAAAAAAUGACGGUAUUCGAGGAAUAAGCAUCGGCUAACUCUGUGCCAGCAGCCGCGGUAAGACAGAGGAUGCAAGUGUUAUUCGGAAUGAUUGGGCGUAAAGAGUCUGUAGGCGGUUUAGAAAGUCUUUUGUGAAAUACUUCAGCUCAACUGAGGCUCCGCAAAAGAAACUUCUAGACUUGAGGAAAGUAGAGGUACAGGGAAUUUCCGGUGGAGCGGUGAAAUGCGUAGAUAUCGGAAGGAACACCAAUAUGGCGAAGGCACUGUACUGGGCUUUUCCUGACGCUCAGAGACGAAAGCUGAAGGAGUGAUUAGGAUUAGAUACCCUAGUAAUUUCAGCCGUAAACGAUGAAAACUCACUGUCGAGCCAAUAUAUGGAGCGGUGGUCAAGCUAACGCGUGAAGUUUUCCGCCUGGGGAUUACGCUUGCAAAAGUGAAACUCAAAGGAAUUGACGG